GAUGAACGCUGGCGGCGUGCCUAAUACAUGCAAGUCGAGCGAACGGACGAGAAGCUUGCUUCUCUGAUGUUAGCGGCGGACGGGUGAGUAACACGUGGAUAACCUACCUAUAAGACUGGGAUAACUUCGGGAAACCGGAGCUAAUACCGGAUAAUAUUUUGAACCGCAUGGUUCAAAAGUGAAAGACGGUCUUGCUGUCACUUAUAGAUGGAUCCGCGCUGCAUUAGCUAGUUGGUAAGGUAACGGCUUACCAAGGCAACGAUGCAUAGCCGACCUGAGAGGGUGAUCGGCCACACUGGAACUGAGACACGGUCCAGACUCCUACGGGAGGCAGCAGUAGGGAAUCUUCCGCAAUGGGCGAAAGCCUGACGGAGCAACGCCGCGUGAGUGAUGAAGGUCUUCGGAUCGUAAAACUCUGUUAUUAGGGAAGAACAUAUGUGUAAGUAACUGUGCACAUCUUGACGGUACCUAAUCAGAAAGCCACGGCUAACUACGUGCCAGCAGCCGCGGUAAUACGUAGGUGGCAAGCGUUAUCCGGAAUUAUUGGGCGUAAAGCGCGCGUAGGCGGUUUUUUAAGUCUGAUGUGAAAGCCCACGGCUCAACCGUGGAGGGUCAUUGGAAACUGGAAAACUUGAGUGCAGAAGAGGAAAGUGGAAUUCCAUGUGUAGCGGUGAAAUGCGCAGAGAUAUGGAGGAACACCAGUGGCGAAGGCGACUUUCUGGUCUGUAACUGACGCUGAUGUGCGAAAGCGUGGGGAUCAAACAGGAUUAGAUACCCUGGUAGUCCACGCCGUAAACGAUGAGUGCUAAGUGUUAGGGGGUUUCCGCCCCUUAGUGCUGCAGCUAACGCAUUAAGCACUCCGCCUGGGGAGUACGACCGCAAGGUUGAAACUCAAAGGAAUUGACGGGGACCCGCACAAGCGGUGGAGCAUGUGGUUUAAUUCGAAGCAACGCGAAGAACCUUACCAAAUCUUGACAUCCUUUGACAACUCUAGAGAUAGAGCCUUCCCCUUCGGGGGACAAAGUGACAGGUGGUGCAUGGUUGUCGUCAGCUCGUGACGUGAGAUGUUGGGUUAAGUCCCGCAACGAGCGCAACCCUUAAGCUUAGUUGCCAUCAUUAAGUUGGGCACUCUAAGUUGACUGCCGGUGACAAACCGGAGGAAGGUGGGGAUGACGUCAAAUCAUCAUGCCCCUUAUGAUUUGGGCUACACACGUGCUACAAUGGACAAUACAAAGGGCAGCGAAACCGCGAGGUCAAGCAAAUCCCAUAAAGUUGUUCUCAGUUCGGAUUGUAGUCUGCAACUCGACUACAUGAAGCUGGAAUCGCUAGUAAUCGUAGAUCAGCAUGCUACGGUGAAUACGUUCCCGGGUCU
rnacentral:rRNA from 1 species